GGUGGGGACCGCCAAGGAUGAUACUGGUCGCGCCGCCUAGGAAGGGGGUGCAUCGUUCCCUCUGGUCUUGCUCCUGCUGGUGGUCGGGGUGACACGACCUGGCAGCAAGUGGCGGGCGGCUUCCAGGUUGUAAACCAGAGUUGUUGUUGCCUCUGUUUGCCGGCUUUCCGAAAGACCAAGUGUUCCAGUUCCUGAAGACAAGUGGAAGACCAACGAUUGAAGCGACAUUUUGGAUACAAGACAAGAACAAGUGCCCUCAGUGGUAUAGAAGAAAUGGAAAUGGAAACUCUGCUCAUCUGGCAUUAAAUUUAAGUGUUUCUCAGCAUCUUUGGCAUUUGGAGCAAAAAGCAGAGUUGAAAAUGAGCACAGCUUCCCCACAGAGCAAGUGCUAUGAGCAGUGUAGCAGAUCAUCUGCUUCAAGGUCUUCUUCCUACUAGCAGGUGUGUUGCUCAACAUGAGGCCAAGAGUGUGAACUAUUUGAACUGAGAAAAAACAGCAGUGAAAUCAAAAAUAUUAGCAUGUGGUAUGAAUAUAAGUCAAUUCUCACUGUGGUUGCAUCCGGUUCUCUUCUGCAUGAUCUGCCUUCUUCAAGCUCAGAAGAAAGAUGUCAUUUUCUUUUUCUCUCUCCUUUAAAUCCCUCUUGCUCAUUGUACUUUCCAAAUUCCAAAUUUACAAUUAUGGCCAAGGUAAACCUGCUUAACUUAUGUGACUUAGAA